AUUGAACGCUGGCGGCAUGCCUUACACAUGCAAGUCGAACGGCAGCACGGGAGCAAUCCUGGUGGCGAGUGGCGAACGGGUGAGUAAUAUAUCGGAACGUGCCCAGUCGUGGGGGAUAACGUAGCGAAAGCUACGCUAAUACCGCAUACGAUCUACGGAUGAAAGCGGGGGAUCGCAAGACCUCGCGCGAUUGGAGCGGCCGAUAUCAGAUUAGGUAGUUGGUGGGGUAAAGGCCUACCAAGCCUGCGAUCUGUAGCUGGUCUGAGAGGACGACCAGCCACACUGGAACUGAGACACGGUCCAGACUCCUACGGGAGGCAGCAGUGGGGAAUUUUGGACAAUGGGCGCAAGCCUGAUCCAGCAAUGCCGCGUGCAGGAUGAAGGCCUUCGGGUUGUAAACUGCUUUUGUACGGAGCGAAACGGCUUUCUCUAAUACAGGGGCUAAUGACGGUACCGUAAGAAUAAGCACCGGCUAACUACGUGCCAGCACG
rnacentral:rRNA from 1 species